rnacentral:lncRNA from 1 species
GUGUGGUGACAUGCACCUGUAGUCCCAGCUACUCAGGAGGCUGAGGUGAAAGAAGGGUCUUAUCGAAUUCAGCCUUUGUCCUGCUGCCAUUUGUCAUGGGAAAUCUUUCCAGGGACUGGCACUCUGACUUGGUUGGAAAGCCAAGGGUAUUGAGCCCACAUCAAUAGAAGGAAGGUUUGCAAGCCAAGUCUACACCUGCCCUCUGCCGUGCCCAACAGAGGGGAGACAGUCUGGGGAUUAUUUACCCCUGGAACUUUUGCUGCAAUAAAUAAAGCAAUGCUGGAGGCUUGAAGGAGUUUAAAGACUAACAGGGGAGAUAAUAAUUGUUACUAUGCACCAGGCAGGGUUCUAAGUCCUUUGCAUAAAUUAACCCACUUAAGCCUCCCAACAGCUCCCUGAGGUUGGAUACUAUUAGCCCAUUUUUACAGGUGGGUAAACUGAGGUACGGGGGGUUAAAUAAUUUGCCUAAGAUCAUACUACAGGGAAGCAGUAGAGAGGAGACUCGAACCCCUGAAAACACAAAGAGCAGCCCUGGGCCCUCGGCAAAGACGACGCUUCCUAUCCCGGGGACAGAGGGAGACAAGUCCAGGCAUCCCAGAGAGCAGGAAUCCCAGAGCAAAGGCCAGGAGUGGGACCACAGGCAGAGUAAGGGGCCCAGGUGGCUGGUGCACCCGCCUGAGGAUCGGAUGUCUCUCUGGGGCAUUGUGUCUACUUAAAGCGCUUGGCUCAGGUUUUCCAUCAGGCCCAGAAGAGCCAUUUUGGGGCAGCACAGAGACCUCAGAGGAAUGAGCUCAACUGAGCGGCUGUAGUUUGCAAAAGCUGCCGACCAGACAAGCUUCACCCUUCAGACCAAAAAGAAAAAUCCCCUCUGGAGCCUGAAUUGUUCGGCAAAAAAGAUAAACGUAGAAGCCAGUCCCAGAUCUUAGAGCACCUCAAUGGGACAUGUGGAUCAUUUUCUGUAGUUAACAAGGAACCCUUAAAAGAAUAAGCCAUUCUUGUUACGGCUUUUGAAUUGUGAUGGCUUUUGCCUGCAAUAUCUGUAUGUUUAUGGCAAAAUCAUUAUUUUGAGAUGAACUAUCUGGAUAACUGUCGGAGAGAAACUGCAGGCUGCAUUUCACCACUGAUGCUCUGUUUUAUGCAUGUGUUGCAUGUAUUCCCACCAGUUGGUGGUAAACUUUUGCAUUUUUCAAGCCUGUCA